GACGAACGCUGGCGGCGUGCUUAACACAUGCAAGUCGAACGGAAAGGCCCUGCUUUUGUGGGGUGCCCGAGUGGCAACCGGGUGAGUAAAACGUGAGUACCCUGCCCUUGCCUUUGGGAAACCUUAAGGAACCGGGGGCAAUAACCGAAAAGGAGCUCCUGCUGCAGGGGGGGGGUGGGAAAGUUUCGGCGGUUGGGGAUGGACUCGCGGCUUAUCAGCUUGUUGGUGGGGUAGUGGCUUACCAAGGCUUUGACGGGUAGCCGGCCUGAGAGGGUGACCGGCCACAUUGGGACUGAGAUACGGCCCAGACUCCUACGGGAGGCAGCAGUGGGGAAUAUUGCACAAUGGGCGGAAGCCUGAUGCAGCAACGCCGCGUGCGGGAUGACGGCCUUCGGGUUGUAAACCGCUUUCGCCUGUGACGAAGCGUGAGUGACGGUAAUGGGUAAAGAAGCACCGGCUAACUACGUG
rnacentral:rRNA from 1 species